GGGCGGCCCCUCCUCCCGGCCAGGCUGGCCGCGGGGCGCUGAGCGGGCCGGGACCCCGCGGCCGAGGCUGUCGUUAGGCAUCGCCCCGGCGACCCGCUCCGCAGCAAGAUGGCGGACGAGAAGGACAGGGAAGAGACAGCAGUAGCAGAAUUUCACAAAAAAAUCAAAGAGGCAUUUGAAGUGUUUGACCAUGAGUCGAAUAAUACAGUGGAUGUGAGAGAGAUUGGAACAAUUAUCAGGUCAUUGGGAUGCUGCCCUAGCGAAGGAGAGCUGCACGAUCUGAUUGCAGAGGUCUUCACUCCGGGUUCUGAAGGCACUCCUCAUCUUCAUGUUCCUGCUGAUGCUAUUGAGAUAGUGCAAAUCCAUUCUGAUUCCCAGUCCUUUCUAGAGGAAGAAGAACCCACUGGAUACAUUCGAUUUGAAAAAUUUCUUCCGGUGAUGACAGAAAUACUACUAGAAAGAAGAUACAGACCAAUUCCAGAAGAUGUCCUUCUUCGAGCUUUUGAGGUUUUAGAUACAGCUAAACGUGGGUUUCUUACUAAGGACGAACUGAUCAAGUAUAUGACUGAGGAAGAAAGAUUGUCACCCGUGCAGUGUACCUGCCGUGGAAUGUUGUCCUGAAUACUGAGUGAGAGUGCUGAGUACUGCCGCGGUGUCGGGAAGUGCAGCUCCUGAAAGAACAGAAGAAGGUGACCUGUGCUCCUCUGAGUAAAGAGGUCACAUGGAGAAGCCUCUUACAAGCAAAGGGGAAGAGAAGGUCUGCACUCGUGGGCACUGAGUCAAGACCAUCGAGUGCACACGUGCGUGGGUCUGACGCCCGGUGAGUGGCGGGGACAGCAGCACCCCAGCCUCUGCCCCCACCUGCUGACCACAGGGUAAAGUGUCUGCUUGUAAAAGAAAAGUAUGGCUCCUUCUCCCCUCAACCCGGCCGAAUCUUCCACAAGUCAUUUGCAAAAUAUGGAAGCUGGAGAUGAUGUGUGUGACUGUCUCAGCCUCACCUCACAGGAGUUCCUACUGCUCUGCUGAUCUCGAGGUGCACGCAUCAUGCUUGAGACGCUCAUCUGUUCUCUGACAUCCUCCCUCAGUUGCCUUCUGUGUUACUGACAGGGGCAGAGGGGAGGAUGAAUAUCCACGGCUCCCUCAUUGCCUUCAUUUGGGUGACGGAAAGAUGUACAUGUUUUAGCAUCCCUUGUGGACAUGUGAGCUGCAGCAAGGCCUGAAGACUCUUCUGCCCACUGAGAGCAGGGGCGGUGGUGUGGGCGUGGCAGAGACAGAAGAGGCGGGAAGCUGGGCAUCCCACGGACUCUUGUAUUAGCACCACUUCCUGGUGAGCAUUCCCUGCCCAGGCCCCAAGCCUUGAAAUCAUCCUUGCCUCCCUUCUUUCUCCUUCUCCCUCCUCAUCCAAUGCGCCAAAUCCUACCUUCAAAAUACGACCUGCCAGCCUGGAUGAACCUUGAGGACUUGAUGUGAAUGGCAUAAGACAGUCCCCAAAGGACAAAGACUCUAUGGUUCCACUUAUCCGAAGUACCUAGGGGAGUCAGAUUCACAGAGACGGGAUUUAGAACGUGGGUGCCAGGGGCUCUGGGGAGGAGAAGAUGG